rnacentral:rRNA from 1 species
UGGGGAAUAUUGCACAAUGGGCGCAAGCCUGAUGCAGCAACGCCGCGUGAGGGACGACGGCCUUCGGGCUGUAAACCUCUUUUAGUAGGGAAGAAGCGAAAGUGACGGUACCUGCAGAAAAAUGCACCGGCUAACUACGUGCCAGCAGCCGCGGUAAUACGUAGGGUGCGAGCGUUGUCCGGAAUUAUUGGGCGUAAAGAGCUCGUAGGCGGUCUGUCGCGUCUGCUGUGAAAAAUCCCCGAGGCUCAACCUCGGGCCUGCAGUGGGUACGGGCAGACUAGAGUGCGGUAGGGGAGAAUGGAAUUCCUGGUGUAGCGGUGAAUGCGCAGAUAUCAGGAGGAACACCGAUGGCGAAGGCAGUUCUCUGGGCCGUAACUGACGCUGAGGAGCGAAAAGCGUGGGGAGCGAACAGGAUUAGAUACCCUGGUAGUCCACGCCGUAAACGUUGGGCGCUAGAUGUGGGGACCAUUCCACGGUUUCCGUGUCGCAGCUAACGCAUUAAGCGCCCCGCCUGGGGAGUACGGCCGCAAGGCUAAAAGCUCAAAUGAAUUGACGGGGUCAUAGCUGUUUCC